rnacentral:rRNA from 1 species
UACGAAGGGUGCAAGCGUUACUCGGAAUUACGUGGCGUAAAGCGUGCGUAGGCGGUUUGUUAAGUCUGUCGUGAAAGCCCCGGGCUCAACCGUGGAAUUGACGAUGGAGACUGCAAGGCUUGAAUCUGGCAGAGGGGGUAGAAUUCCACGUGUAGCAGUGAAAUGCGUAGAUAUGCGGAGGAACACCGAUGGCGAAGGCAAUCCCCUGGCCUGCACUGACGCUCAUGCACGAAAGCGUGGGGAGCAAACAGG